CCUACGGGUGGCAGCAGUGAGGAAUAUUGGUCAAUGGGCGCGAGCCUGAACCAGCCAAGCCGCGUGCAGGAAGAAGGUACAGCGUAUCGUAAACCUCUUUUGUCAGGGGACAAAGGCGGGGACUAGUCCCCGGAUGAGGGUACCUGAAGAAAAAGCAUCGGCUAACUCCGUGCCAGCAGCCGCGGUAAUACGGAGGGUGCGAGCGUUAUCCGGAUUUAUUGGGUUUAAAGGGUGCGCAGGCGGCCUGUUAAGUCAGUGGUAAAAGCCCGGGGCCCAACCCGGGCGUGCCGGUGAAACUGGGGGGCUGGAGUUGGAGAGAGGUAGGCGGAAUGCGUGGUGUAGCGGUGAAAUGCUUAGAUAUCGCGCAGAACCCCGAUUGCGAAGGCAGCGUACCGGCUCCACACUGACGCUGAGGCACGAAAGUGUGGGUAUCGAACAGGAUUAGAUACCCUUGUAGUC
rnacentral:rRNA from 1 species